GGCUGCCAGGGAGUAUCACCAUGAGGUCCCGACGACGCUACAAAUCUCUGCUGUUUUUGAGAUUAAUUUCAGGGGUUGAGAAAAAAGUUCCAGUUGAGAAGGAAUGCAGCCACGCACACGGCGUGGACCCUCCUUAGUUUGACAGUUGAACUGGAUAACAUACAUACAACACAACUGCUGGCUUCAACGGUCCAGGGCUGGGAAAAGCGUGACCAUCCUUGCUUGCUUAGGCCUGGUCAGAAAGACGUCGUGUUUCAGGUAAGUGGCCCCGUGUUCUUCGUUUACCAUGGAAGUAGACAAUUGCACAUUUAGGAUCGAGAUUGACCUGACUUCUGCCACCCUUCUA